rnacentral:rRNA from 1 species
UACGGGGGGGGCAAGCGUUGUUCGGAAUUACUGGGCGUAAAGGGCUCGUAGGCGGCCAACUAAGUCAGACGUGAAAUCCCUCGGCUUAACCGGGGAACUGCAUCUGAUACUGGAUGGCUUGAGUUCGGGAGAGGGAUGCGGAAUUCCUGGUGUAGCGGUGGAAUGCGCAGAUAUCAGGAGGAACACCUAUAGCGAAGGCAGCUUGCUGGGACGUUACUGACGCUAAGGCGCGAAAGCGUGGGGAGCGAACAGG